UACAGAGGGGGCAAGCGUUGUUCGGAAUUACUGGGCGUAAAGGGCGCGUAGGCGGCCUUCUAAGUCGAACGUGAAAUCCCCGGGCUCAACCCGGGAACUGCGUCCGAUACUGGCAGGCUUGAAUUCGGGAGAGGGAUGCGGAAUUCCAGGUGUAGCGGUGAAAUGCGUAGAUAUCUGGAGGAACACCGGUGGCGAAGGCGGCAUCCUGGACCAAUAUUGACGCUGAGGAGCGAAAGCCAGGGGAGCAAACGG
rnacentral:rRNA from 1 species